UUGUGUCAUGAUGUAUGUUUGGAUGGGUUGUACUGGAAUUCUGAUUUCCCCUCGGGGAUCAAUAAAGUAUCUUUGAAUUGAAUUGAAUUGAAUUACUGAACCAGCGGGAAAAAAAAAGGAUGAAGUCUCCCAUCUUCUGAGUUCUGUGAUAAUACCGCUCCAACUCCAAUGUCAGAGGCGUCGACCCAGAGGCACAAAACACAAACACAACCCAGAUCCUGACAUCUACAGGUCUAACAGUAAUCCAGCCUAGGUGCAAACUCAGCUUUUGAAAAAAGAGCGUCUCCAGAACCUUCUCCUGCUGGAGCUCUGUCUGCCACAGUGAACGCUCUUUCAGGACCCGCUGCAGCACCUCGGUGGGAGCUGCCGACACCUCCAGACAAACCCGCCACCGCCUCAGGGGGUUCCCAUCUCCAACCUUACACAUCAAUAUUAAAUAUGUCAAUAAGUAUUAAGAAAGGUAUUUGGAACUCUGCUCUCACACUAAAAAGAUCUCUCUUGACUGCAGCCAUCCUCUACUCACGCUUAUAAG